AGUUUGCUAUUUCAAAUAUCAAGAGAGAAGAAAACCGGUGCUAAGCAUUCUUCCACAGCUCUUGAAAAUGGCCGAAAGUUAGGAUUUGUUCCCAAGACACCAAAAAGUAGCUACAAACAAUGAGAUGAAUUAGCUCAGAAAAAUCAAACAGCGAUUUUCAGUAAAUUUGAACAACACCCAGAAGGAUUUCUUGCUUCUUUAACUCUGGGAGAAGAUGUGUACACUGGGCUUGGAAGCAAUAAAACGGCAGCAAAAGAUAAAGCAGCGGAGGCCGCAUUAGAGGUCUGGAGUACGAAAAUUACUCCAGAGAAAAAGCUAGAAAAGACACCUGUUACGAAAUUAAAUGAAUUUUGUCAGCAAAAUAGGAAGGUAUGUUAAAUACAUGAACAACUCUGUUGCUGGG